CUUAUACUCCCUCCGUCCAAAAAUACUUGUCAUCAAAAUGGACAAAAAGGGAUGUAUCUAGAACUAAAAUACAUCUAGAUACAUCCCCUUUUAUUCAUUUUGAUUUGAUGACAAGUAUUUCCGGACGGAGGGAAUAUUUA
rfam:Triticum aestivum genome assembly, contig: Triticum_aestivum_CS42_TGACv1_scaffold_513983_6BS